rnacentral:snoRNA from 1 species
GGGCCUGUGAUAAUAUAUGGAACCAAAAAUACCAUCUUUCUGGACUGAUUUGGCUU